AAGGAAGGAAGGUUAGAUACCUUUGAUAGGGUUGUAUUUUUGGUUGAAAUGGGAUGGUGUUCAAACUCCCGAAAUGCAGUCUAGACAGUGGGCCCUCCCCUUUCUGACUAGACUGACUCGGGGAAGGGUCAAUCUCCUCCGGAGCAUGCUGCACAGCCACUCAUUUGUCCUGACUAAAUAGUAGAAUCUAUCUCUCAGCGAUUCUUUUCUCCGCCAAAAACCCCUUCCCAACCAGCCCGCCCGAUUUUUUUUGUAAGAUCAGCUAAUUUAAAGGGGUUAAUCUGGUCCGAAGUUGUCGGAACGAAUCGUUUGCUUUAUCAAACAAAGCUUUAUUAGGGGGCCCAU
rnacentral:lncRNA from 1 species